CACAGUGAGAAUGCCUAAGCUAACCAGGUUUGGGUUUGGUUAGUACUUGGAUGGGAGAACAUUGGGAAUACCAGGUGCCACAGGGG
rnacentral:rRNA from 1 species